AUCUUUUUCACAUUCUUACGUGGAAAAAAAUAGAGAUCUCGUAAAACUAAAAAAAAAAAAAGUUUCUAAAGGAAAAAAGAGAGACCCAAUACCCACCCACCACAUGUCAAAUAGAGCAUUCUCCUCGCCUAUCUCUCCUCCAAUUUUCCUUUUCAGCCAAAAAACCAGACAACACAAAGACCUCUUCUCCUCGCUCGACUAAGGAGGGAUUUGUCAGAUCUCUUUGGUCGAGCACUACUACAAUGUCGUGCGAAAAGAUUGAUGGUAUUGCGAGGUGGUUCGGGACGAGUGUCGCCUCGGCAUUCUUCGCAUCGUUGGAGCGAUGCGCAUGUGUGAAUCUGACAACAUAUGCAUCUGAUGAUGAGGAAGAAGAAGAAGCUAAAGAUAGGCCUUUGUUUAUGAACAAUUUGCCUUCUCAUGUUGAUCCUUGUCCUCAGGCUCACAAUUCUACCUCCGUUGUCAACCUCCCUGUUUGAUCACCCUCAAGGAACUGGCAUCACCAACUUCGUCAUAUUAAUCCCCUGUCUCCAAACAGAGGAAUUGGAAAUGUAAUUCUGGUAUUAACUGUAAUAUUUUCUUUUGGCCUUAUAGACUGAUUUUUCCCAUGAAGUGUUGUAUGAGGUGUUUGUCCGUUGGCAGUUUUGUUACAAGGUCAAACAUUUAAGCACGAACAAGACGCCUUUUAUUGUUCCUUA